GCAUCUCCCGUUAAAUCCCGAGGCUCAACCUCGGAACCGCGGGAGAUAUGGCCGGGCUAGAGGCCGGAAGAGGUACGCGGAAUUGCCGGUGUAGGGGUUAAAUCCGUUAAUAUCGGCAAGAACACCAAAAGCGAAAGCAGCGUACUGGAACGGUCCUGACGCUCAGGGACGAAAGCGUGGGUAGCGAAUGGGAUUAGAUACCCCAGUAGUCCACGCCGUAAACGUUGGAUGCUAAACAUUGGCAGUAUCGACCCUGUCAGUGUUGUUCACUCAAGCUAACGCCUUAAGCAUCCCACCUGGGGAGUACGGCCGCAAGGCUAAAACUCAAAGGAAUAGACGGGGACCCGCACAAGCGGUGGAGCACGUGGUUUAAUUCGAUGAUAAGCGAGGAACCUCACCCAGGCUUGACAUCUGGCUGCAGACCCCUGGAAACAGGGGAGCCUUCGAGGGUGCCAGACAGGUGCUGCAUGGUUGUCGUCAGCUCGUGUCGUGAGAUGUACCGUUAAGUCGGGAAACGAGCGCAACCCCUAUCCUAUGUUUUACUUGUCAUAGGAAACUGCCCGCUUUAAGUGGGAGGAAGGUGGGGACGACGUCAAAUCAGCAUGGUCCUUACGCCUGGGGCGACACACGUGCUACAAUGGGGAGUACAGAGGGACGCCAAACCGCAAGGUGGAGCUAAUCCCCCAAAACUCCCCUCAGUUCGAAUUGGGGUCUGCAA
rnacentral:rRNA from 1 species